rnacentral:rRNA from 1 species
AUUGAACGCUGGCGGCAGGCCUAACACAUGCAAGUCGAGCGAGCGGCGGACGGGUGAGUAAUGUAUGGGGACUGCCCGAUAGAGGGGGAUAACUACUGUAAACGGUGGCUAAUACCGCAUACUAUCGGAUAACCCAUAUGGGAUUAGGUAGUUGGUGAGGUAAAGGCUCACCAAGCCGACGAUCUCUAGCUGGUCUGAGAGGAUGACAAGCCACAAUGGGACUGGGAAACGGCCCAGACUCCUACGGAGGCAGCAGUGGGGAAGAUUGCACAAUGGGCGCAAGCCUGAUGCAGCCAUGGCGCGGGUAUGAAGAAGGCCUUAGGGUUGUAAAGUACUUUCAGCGAGGAGGCGUGACCCGAAGAAGAAGCACCGGCUAAAUCCGUGCCAGCAGCCGCGGUAAAUUC